rnacentral:tRNA from 1 species
AUCUAAAUAGUUUAUUUAAAAUAUUGAUUUGUGGUGUCAAUGAAAUGAGGGCUAUCAUUUUAGAUC